UACGUAGGUGGCAAGCGUUGUCCGGAAUUAUUGGGCGUAAAGCGCAUGUAGGCGGUUCCCUAAGUCGGUCGUGAAAAUGCGGUGCUUAACGCCGUAUGGCGAUCGAAACUGGGGGACUUGAGUGCAGGAGAGGAAAGGGGAACUCCCAGUGUAGCGGUGAAAUGCGUAGAUAUUGGGAAGAACACCGGUGGCGAAGGCGCCUUUCUGGACUGUGUCUGACGCUGAGAUGCGAAAGCCAGGGUAGCGAACGGG
rnacentral:rRNA from 1 species